rnacentral:rRNA from 1 species
UACGUAGGGUGCGAGCGUUGCCCGGAUUUAUUGGGCGUAAAGGGCGCGUAGGCGGCCUGGCGCGUCGGCUGUGAAAUCUCCCGGCUCAACUGGGAGGGGACGGCCGAUACGGCUGGGCUUGAGCGAGGUAGGGGAGAGUGGAAUUCCCGGUGUAGUGGUGGAAUGCGUAGAUAUCGAGAGGAACACCUGCGGCGAAGGCGGGUUGCUGGGCUGACACUGACGCUGAUGCGCGAAAGCUAGGGGAGCGAACGGG